GUAGUGUUCUAGCGGCGGACGGGUGAGUAACGCGUGAGCAACCUGUCCCUUACAGGGGAUAACACAGCGAAAGUUGUACUAAUACCGCAUGAGACCACGGAGUCACAUGGCUCAGGGGUCAAAGGAGCAAUCCGGUAAGGGGUGGGCUCGCGUCCGAUUAGAUAGUUGGUGAGGUAACGGCCCACCAAGUCGACGAUCGGUAGCCGACCUGAGAGGGUGAUCGGCCACAUUGGGACUGAGACACGGCCCAAACUCCUACGGGAGGCAGCAGUGGGGAAUAUUGGGCAAUGGGGGAAACCCUGAACCCCCAGCAACGCCGCGUGAGGGAAGAAGGUUUUCGGAUCGUAAACCUCUGUCCUAUGUGAAGAGAAAGAGACGGCAGCAUAGGAGGAAGCCCCGGCUAACUACGUGCCAGCCGCCGC
rnacentral:rRNA from 1 species